GCAUAAAUUUUUGUCUCCCCAUCACGACUCAGGUCCGCCGUCUGCGCUCACACUCUCUCAAACCCCCAAUAUUUUCACACGGAGAGUGAGAGAAACGCCCAACCGAUACAUACAUAUACAUAUAUUUAUACAUGGAUUCAGAUCAAGGAAAGCUUUUUAUCGGAGGGAUAUCAUGGGAGACAGAUGAGGAAAAGCUCAAGGAGCAUUUCCAAGGCUAUGGUGAGGUUUUGCAGGCUGUGGUGAUGAGAGAUAAGAUCACUGGAAAACCCAGAGGAUUUGGGUUUGUCGUAUUUGCAGAUCCAAACAUUCUUGACACGGUUCUUCAAGAGAGACAUGUUAUUGAUGGCCGCACGGUCGAAGCAAAGAGAGCCUUAUCAAGAGAGGAACAACAAGUUUCAAAAGGUGGAAACCCUAAUACGUCUAGGAAUUUUGGAGGUGUUGGCAAUACCAGGACCAAGAAGAUAUUUGUUGGGGGACUGCCACCAAUUCUUUCUGAAGAUGGAUUCCGUGAUUAUUUUGAAGCUUAUGGCACUGUAACUGAUGUAGUAAUAAUGUAUGACCAGCAGACAAACAGACCUCGUGGAUUUGGGUUUAUUUCAUUUGAUUCUGAGGAUGCAGUAGAUAGGGUUUUACACAAGACUUUUCAUGAUCUAAAUGGUAAGCAUGUUGAAGUGAAGCGUGCUCUUCCUAAAGAUGCCAAUCCUGGUGGGAGUGGUCGUUCCAUGGGUGGUGGGACAGGUGGCGGCAGUGUUGGGGGCUAUCAGGGGUAUGGUUCUUCUUUUGGAGAUAGUCGAAUGGAUUCCUCCAGGUACAUGCAAUCUCAAAAUGCUGGAGCUGGGUAUCCGCCUUAUGGUCCAUCUGGGUUUAAUACUUCUGCUUUUGGGUAUGGUCCUGGCAAUAAUGGCAUGGGUUAUGGUGGCUAUGGAAAUUAUGGGAGUGCUGGUUCAGGCUAUGGAAAUCCUAAUGCUCCUAAUGCCCAAAGAAGUUCAUGGGGUUCACAGGCUCCUUCUGGAUAUGGAAAUAUGAGCUAUGGAAAUUCUCAGUGGGGUAGCCCUAAUCCUAGUGCUGGCAAUGGCCUUGGAAGUGGUGGGUUAACUGCUGGUCAACCGUCAAGCGGAACUACUGGAUAUGGUAAUCAAGGUUAUGGUUAUGGUGUAUAUGGUGGCAAUGAUGGAACUUAUGGGAACCAAGCUGCUGCUUAUGGGGCUGUCGGUGGGCGUACGGGAAGUGGCCCAAAUGGCAGUGCACCGGCAGGAGAGCUGCAAGCAGGUCCUGGGGGUUAUAUGGGAGGUGGCUACAGUGAUGCUGGUGGUAAUUUCGGUUAUGGUAACUCAGGCUGGCGAUCUGACCCUUCACAAGCUUCUGGGCAACAAUCAAAUGGAUCUCAUGGUGGUCAAGCUGGGUAUGGUGGUGGAUAUGGCAGUGGUCCAACUAGACAGGCUCAGCAGCAGUGAUUUUACUACUUGAUUCCAUCAAUCCUUGGUUGGAGGUUUAUGCCAUCAAUGCUUUCCCAUUUCAAGUGCAGGAGGAGAGAUGCUCGAGAACUAAGGUGGAUGAACUGAAGUGUCCACUCAAGCUAAACACGAGUUUCAUGCAGGGUGUACGUGUUUAGCAUGGAAAUGGAACUUAAAAAGUGGACUUGGCUUGGUUUAUAUGACGUGUUACCCUGAAACUGGUGCUGAAGCAGCUUUCAAACUGGAAUCUCUCAUCUUCAUCGAGGUUUUAGUAUGAUGAAGAUUCAUGGAAGACAUGUUUGGUAUGUUGAUCUCAGAGAGCAGUUGGUUUAGUAAUGACAACAUGAACUGUCUGGUGAUUUGAUAGCAUUAUAGACUAGAGUUUAAAAUUUGUUCUUAGAUACUGCCCUAACUGGCUAAAAAUCAAUCUAAUACGCAAGUUUCUUUUUA